rnacentral:rRNA from 1 species
CCUACGGGAGGCAGCAGUGGGGAAUAUUGCACAAUGGGGGAAACCCUGAUGCAGCGACGCCGCGUGAGCGAGGAAGUAUUUCGGUAUGUAAAGCUCUAUCAGCAGGGACGAACAAAGACGGUACCUGACUAAGAAGCCCCGGCUAACUACGUGCCAGCAGCCGCGGUAAUACGUAGGGGGCAAGCGUUAUCCGGAUUUACUGGGAGUAAAGGGAGCGUAGACGGCAAGGCAAGCAAGAAGUGAAAGGGCAGCGCUCAACCCUGUACAUGCUUUUGGAACUGUGGUGCUAGAGUGCAGGAGAGGUAAGUGGAAUUCCUAGUGUAGCGGUGAAAUGCGUAGAUAUUAGGAGGAACACCAGUGGCGAAGGCGGCUUACUGGACUGUAACUGACGUUGAGGCUCGAAAGCGUGGGGAGCAAACAGGAUUAGAUACCCCAGUAGUC